ACUCUGUGGUCUAGUGGUUAAGUACACUGGCUCGAGACUGGUAGGUUCUGGGUUCAAAUCUCGCGAGGCG
rnacentral:tRNA from 1 species